CCUACGGGAGGCAGCAGUGGGGAAUAUUGCACAAUGGGGGGAACCCUGAUGCAGCGACGCCGCGUGGGUGAAGGAGUAUUUCGGUAUGUAAAGCCCUAUCAGCAGGGAAGAACAAUGACGGUACCUGACUAAGAAGCACCGACUAAAUAAGUGCCAGCAGCCUCGGUAAUACGUAUGGUGCAAGCGUUAUCCGGAUUUACUGGGUGUAAAGGGAUCGCAGGGGGCGCGUUAAGCCUGGUGUGAAAGCCCGGGGCCCAACCGCGGGACUGCAUUGGGAACUGGCGCGCUGGAGUGCGGGAGGGGUAGGCGGAAUUCCUAGUGUAGCGGUGAAAUGCAUAGAUA
rnacentral:rRNA from 1 species